rnacentral:rRNA from 1 species
UACGUAGGGGGCAAGCGUUGUCCGGAAUCAUUGGGCGUAAAGAGCGCGUAGGCGGUCCGGUAAGUCCGCUCUGAAAGUCCGGGGCUCAACCCCGGGAGGCGGGCGGAUACUGUCGGGCUAGAGUCCGGAAGAGGCGAGUGGAAUUCCUGGUGUAGCGGUGAAAUGCGCAGAUACCAGGAGGAACACCGAUGGCGAAGGCAGCUCGCUGGGACGGUACUGACGCUGAGGCGCGAAAGCGUGGGGAGCAAACAGG